rnacentral:lncRNA from 1 species
AAAAUUUGGUGACUAUGUGGAACGCAUCUAUCCAAUCGAGCUAGAGAUAAAGGAUACUACAGAUACAGUUAAGUCGGCCUCAUAUCAUGACUUACAUCUAGAAAUUGACAAUGAGGGUCGGUUGAAAACAAAACUUUACGACAAAAGAGAUGAUUUCAGCUUUCCAAUUGUGAACUUUCCAUUUCUAAGUAGCAACAUUCCAGC